rnacentral:rRNA from 1 species
CACGUAGGGGGCGAGCGUUGUCCGGAUUUAUUGGGCGUAAAGAGCUCGUAGGCGGCUCAGUAAGUCAGGUGUGAAAACUCCAGGCUCAACCUGGAGACGCCACCUGAUACUGCUGUGGCUAGAGUCCGGUAGGGGAGCAUGGAAUUCCUGGUGUAGCGGUGAAAUGCGCAGAUAUCAGGAGGAACACCGGUGGCGAAGGCGGGUCUCUGGGCCGAUACUGACGCUGGAGGAGCGAAAGCCGUGGGGAGCGAACAGG